rnacentral:lncRNA from 1 species
UUUUCUGCCUCGGCUUUCAUCUAAUUGGAAGGUUUUUGCUAUUUUUUGGUCAGGAUCCGUGGGAUUCAUCCAGGUAGUGGCGGCCUUGCAGACGCACCAGCUAGACCUGAGGGAGGAGGUGUUGCCGGGCACCAAGGACCACCAGAUCGCACUUAAUCCGUCUAUUUUAGCCGAUCCGCUAAGAGAGGCCAGCCAUGCUUCGUCGGAACAGGAGAAAAGGCCCGAGGAUGGGGCGGGUAAAGUUUCGAGCUUCAAUUGCUAAUUCAAGAUUCAUGCAGUUCUUUACUGUAGAGGGUGGUUUCUUUUUUUCGUUUUUUUUUGUGCUUUGUUCAUAAAGUUUGCUUUUUUAUUUUUAUUUUUUUUGAAGCAAACAGCGAAGGGUGAAGGAGAAUAAUUAGAGCUGGUGCAGUUAGAACUCCCGAAAAAAUGGGUCUUAAAGGUGCAACUGGAGGAAUGGGCGAAACUUCUUUCGCAGUGUUCACGGGUUGGGUUAUUAUCUUCCUAUUUUUUUCUUUACAUGUUCUUAAAGUAUUUCAAAUGAUAAGAUUUUUGUUGGCGGUUUGAAAGAUUUAUUCAUCUUUUUAUUUGCAUCGAGGGUCUAGGGAGCAUACAAGUUCUUGAUUUUAUUUUUAUUUUUAUUGAUAAAAGAAGGAUACACAGAUAUGCAAUGUGGUUUUUGGUUGUACUUUAUACUCCUG